rnacentral:lncRNA from 1 species
UCAUUUUAAUUCAUUUUUGUGAAUGUUUAAUAUUUCAAUUAAUAUGAUUAGCCCCAAGCCUGAAUGAGCAGCAGGGCGGCAGAUCUGCUGAGAAGACAUAGAGUAAUGAGAUCAACAGGGCCAUAGGGUCUUCCCCUUCUCCAUCCUCAGAGGACAUGAUCUGUUUAGCAUCUCCAUAAAUACCAAGAUCAGAUUAGAAGGCAAGGAAAGGAGCAGUGGGGGUGGGGUAGGUGAGUGGAAAGUUACUUUCAAGAUGUGUGUGCCCUUCUUGAUUCCCUGGCUCUGCCGUCAUUCGCUUCUUCUGAGCACCCACCACUGAGUCCUCUAGCACCUCCCCCCACUGCCACCCCAUCUUAGGGGACCCUACUUGGGGGACCCGGGCAUCCAUGUGAUGAAGUGUAAUCAAGUCUACACACAUACACAUUCACUCAAAUGCAAGCACCUGCCAGAGCGUGGCUCCAGGCCACAACAAAAAAACAGGCUAAGGAAGGAUGGGAGGUGGUCCACAGAAUCAAGCAGUAAAAAGAAAGACUCUCUCUCAUCCAGGGCUUAAAUGGAGACAGAAGAGGAAGAAAGGCCAGACUUCACCACUGCUCCCAUUCUCAAGAGGAAUGUUUGAUGUGGGAGUUAAAUGCGUGGACUCAGGAGCCAGACUGCCCAGGCUCCAGUCUCAGCUAGACCUCUUUCUAGCUGCAUGGCUUUAGAAGAGAAGCCUGCCUGCCGUGAUAGCUCAGGAAUGGAG